rnacentral:rRNA from 1 species
AGAGCGAACGCUGGCGGCAGGCCUAACACAUGCAAGUCGAGCGCCCGUAGCAAUACGGGAGCGGCAGACGGGAUAGUAACACGUGGGAACGCGCCCUUCGGUUCGGAAUAACUCAGGGAAACUUGAGCUAAUACCGGAUACGCCCUUACGGGGAAAGAUUUAUUGCCGAAGGAACGGCCCGCGUCCGAUUAGCUAGUUGGUGAGGUAAUGGCUCACCAAGGCUCCGAUCGGUAGCUGGUCUGAGAGGAUGACCAGCAUCACUGGGACUGAGACACGGCCCAGACUCCUACGGGAGGCAGCAGUGGGGAAUAUUGGACAAUGGGCGCAAGCCUGAUCCAGCCAUGCCGCGUGGAUGAUGAAGGCCUUAGGGUUGUAAAGUCCGUUUUAACGGGGAAGAUAAUGACGGUACCCGUAGAAUAAGCCCCGGCUAACUUCGUGCCAGCAGCCGC